rnacentral:lncRNA from 1 species
AGUCCAGCGCUCCCUGCGCUUCCGGAAGCCUUGCUGCUCCCGCGUGCCUAGCGGGGGCUCGGCCCUAUGCCACGGGCAUCCCACCCUGCUACCAGCUGCCCUCUUGUCCGCUGGCCGGACUCUUACCCCAGCCUUCUUCAGGAAGACACGGCGCAGUCCGGCUUCCCCACGAAAGCGAAGGUCGCUGGGACCGCGGCUGGGCGUCCGGGGGCGGGGCCGCGACGCCAUUGUGACGCGCUCGGAGCAGGGCUGGGCCGAGGACCCCGGGCGCUGGAGGGCAGGCCCUAGCCACUGCUCCUGAGGCCCUGGAGGCAGCUGACGCUUGAGGCCGCUGGGCGCCGCAACGUGAGCCCAAAGGACGCCCCGCUUCAAGACUGGCGCAAGAGGAAAAAAUGAAGGUCGUUUUCUGCGGAGGAUGUUAGGAGAACGAGAACUGCGGGCCAGAGAACUGACCUAGCUUAAGGAGCGCAGGCAGCCUCUGCCGCCGGCUCUUGGGGAGACACGGAGAGGAUGGGGUCCCCGCUCCGCAUCAGGUCCUCUGACGCACCCCGGCUUUCCAGGAGGUAGGACUGGCCACAGGCCUCCUUCCCAGGGACAAAGUGCAAAGCAGAGGCUGUCAGCAGCGUGACCUUCGCUGCAGGAGAAAUACGCGUCCAGUUCGUUUUCGUCAGAGUUCUGCUACAUCAGGCCUGCCGUAUUUGCUGUACACAAAUCAGCCAACUUCCCAGGCCUGGGUGCGGAGGUAUUUGUUAAGCACAUGCACACAGUUGGAAUUAGCAGCCUCAGGGAUCAAAAGUUGUCCUUUUUUUUUUUUUUUUUUUUGGAGACGAAGUUUCGCUCUUGUUGCCCAGGCUGGAGUGCAGUGGCGCGAUCUUGGCUCACUGCAACCUCCGCCUCCCGAGUUCAAGUGAUUCUCCUACCUCAGGCUCCCGAGUAGCUGGGAUUACAGUCGUCCGCCACCACGCCCGGUUAAUUUUUUUUGUUUUUAGUAGAGAUGGGGUUUCACCAUUUUGGCCAGGCUGGUGUCGAACUCUUUUUUUUUUUUUUUUUUUUUUUUUUUGAGACGGAGUCUCGCUCUGUCACCCAGGGUGGAGUGCAGUGGCGCGAUCUCAGCUCACUGCAAGCUCCGCCUCCCAGGGUCACGCCAUUGUCUUGCCUCAGCCUCCCGAGUAGCUGGGACUACAGGCGCCCGCCACCACGCCCGGCUAAUUUUUUGUAUUUUUAGUAGAGACGGGGUUUCACCGUGUUAGCCAGGUUGGUCUUGAUCUCCUGACCUCGUGAUCCGCCCGUCUCGGCCUCCCAAAGUGCUGGGAUUACAGGCAUGAGCCACCGUGCCCGGCCUGGUGUCGAACUCUUGACCUCAGGUGAUCCACUGGCCUCGGCCUCCCAAAGUGGUAGGAUUACAGGCGUGAGCCACCGCGCCCCUGCCCAAGAGUUGUCAUUUCUGUAGCAAAGCAGCUAAGCAAUAUUCUUUUGCCUGCCACCUAAAUGUGAUUAGGUGCAGCAUCAUUAAGAAAAAAAAUAAAAAGCCCGGGCGUGGUGGCUUACGCCUGUAAUCCUAACACAUUGGGAGGCCAAGGCGGGUGGAUCACCUGAGAUCAGGAGUUUAAGAUCAGUCUGGCCUACAUGGUGAAACUCCAACUCUACUAAAAAUUCAAAAUUAGCUGGGUGUGGUGGCACAUGCCUGUGAUCCCAGUUAUUCGGGAGGCUGAGGCAGGAGAAUAGCUUGCACCCGGGAGGCAGAGGUUGCUGUGAGCCGAGAUCUCGCCAUUGCACUCCAGCCUGGGCAACAAGAGCGAGACUCUGUCCCAAAAAAAAAAAAAAAAAAAAAAAAAAGCCCUGAGACCCACGGUAGCUGGCCUGGAUUACUUGAUGAACAUAAACAGGUUCACAGAAAAUUGAUAUCAGACGAGUUCUUUCUGUGACUGAGGGAAGGAGAAAAUAAUUCCGAUCAGUGAUCUUGCCUGCAUAAAUAAAAACUGGCACUGCGCAACCACACACACAGAAGAAUAAACAUCCCUUCUUCAGCUAGCAUGAGUAAUUACUGCUUUUUCUCCAAUGACAGCUUUAGCUCCUCUCUAUUCCUCCUGCUUUCUGGAUUUAAAAAAAAUUUUUUUUUUUUUUUUUUGAGAAGGAGUCUUGCUCUGUCGCCCAGGCUGGAGUGAAGUAGCACAAUUUCGGCUCACUGCAACCUCUGCCUCCCAGGAGAAUGGCGUGAACCCCGCGGGGCGGAGCCUGCAGUGAGCCGAGAUCGCGCCACUGCACUCCAGCUUGGGUGAAAAAGCGAGACUCCAUCUCAAAAAAAAAAAUAAUAAUAAUCUUUGAGUUGCCCCUGUUAGUACAGCACCAAUCCAAAACACACCCCUGUCCUUGGACCCUCCCCAAAAUCACCAGCCACAAGUCCAAAUGGUAUAACAAGCCCUCUAACAAGUCUCCUAAGACACCCCAUGGUUUCAGAGGUGUGAUGUCUCAUUGCAGCAACUAACAGCCCCAAAUAAUAACUAGUUCACAGUGAGGAAUAUAUGCAUUCACUGAAAUAGCAAAUCAUCAUUCCACCAUAUGUAUGCCUUUUGUAGUCUGACUGGUAGACACGGCAAAUAUAGAUACACUUAUAUAUGAAGGAUACGUAACUCAUAUGCACAAAUGAAACUUCAGAGCCUAUACUCUAAUGAAAAAUCAAAAUAAAUUUUUCUUUCUUUUUUUUUUUAACUCUUUGAGACAGGGUCUUGCACCAUCCCCUAGCCAGGAGUGCAGUGGCAGGAUCUCAGCUCGCUGCAGCCUUGACAGCUCAAGCAAUCUUCCCACCUCAGCCUCUCAGCCUCCCGGUAGCUGGGACGACAGGGGGUCACCACCACACCCAGCUGAUUUUUUUUUUUUUUUUUUUUUGAGAUGGUGUCUCGCACUGUCUCCCGGGCUGGAGUGCAAUGGUGCGAUCUCGGCUCACUGCAACCUCCACCUCCCAGGUUCACGGGAUUCUCCUGCUUCAGCCUCCGGAGUAGUUGGGAUUACAGGCGCACACCACCACACCCGGCUAACUUUUUGUGUUUUUAGUAGAGAGGGGGUUUCACUAUGUUGGCCAGACUGGUCUCAAACUCCUGACCUCAUGAUCUGUCCUUCUUGGCCUCCCAAAGUGCUGGGAUUACAGGGUUGAGCCACCGUUCCUAGCCACACCCAGCUGAUUUUUAAAUUUUUUUGGAGAGACACAGACUUGCUAUGUUACCUAGGCUGGUCUCUAACUCCUGGGCUCAAGUGAUCCUCCUCCUGCAUUGGCCUCCCAAAGUGCUGGGAUUACAGCUGUGAGCCACUGCAUCUGGCCAAAACAAACAUUUCUUUUUUUUUUUUUUUUUUUGGACACUGAGUCUUGCUAUGUUGUCCAGGCUAGAGUGCUGGGGUGUGAUCUUGACUCACUGCAACCUCUGCCUCCCAGGUUCAAGCGAUUCUCCUGCCUCAUCCUCCCAAGUAGCUGGGACUACAGGCACACACCACCACGCCUGGCUCAUUUUUGCAUUUUUAGUAGAGACAAGGUUUCACCAUGUUGCCCAGGCUGGUCUUGAACUCCUGAGCUUAAGUGAUCCUCCUGCUUUGGCCUCCCAAAGUGCUGGGAUUACAGACGCGAGCCACUGCACCCAGCUAAUUUUUUUAUUUUUAGUAGAGAUGGGGUUUUGCCAUGUUCGCCAGGUUAGUCUCAAACUCCUGACCUCAGGUGAUCUGCCCACCUCGGCCUCCCAAAGUGCUACUCGGGAGGCUGAGGCAGGAGAAUGGCGUGAACCCGGGAGGCGGAGCUUGCAGUGAGCCGAGAUUGCGCCACUGCACUCCAGCCUGGGCAACACAGCAAGACUCCGCCUCAAAAAACAAAAAAAAAUUAGCCAGGCAUGGUGGCAGGCGCCUGUAAUCCCAGCUACUCGGCAGGCUGAGGUGGGAAAAUCGCUUGAACCUGGGAGGCAGAGGUUGCAGUGAACCGAGAUCACGCCACUGCCUAGGCAACAGUGCGAGACUCUGUCUCAAAAAAAAAAAAAAUACAAAAAUUAGCUGGGCAUAGUGGCGCAAGCCUGUAGUCCCAGCUACUGGGGAGGCAGAGGUGAGAGAAUCGCUUGAACUUGGGAGGCAGAUGUUGCAGUGAGCUGAGAUCGUGCCAUUGCAACAUAGGGAGGCCCCAUCUCAAAAAAAAAAAAAAAAAAAGAACCACAGAUGUAGCCAGGCACAGGGGCUGAUGCGUGUAAUCCCAGCUACUCAGGAGGCUGUGGUGAGAGAAUCAUUUGAGCCUGGAACUUUAAGACCAGCCUAAGCAACGUAGUGAGACCCUGUCUCUAAAAAAAAAAAUUUUAGGCCAGGUGCGGUGGCUCACGCCUGUAAUCCCAGCACUUUGGGAGGCUGAGGCAGGUGGAUCAUGAGGUCAGGAGUUCAAGACCAGCCUGGCCAAGAUGGUGAAACCCUGUCUCUAUAAAAAAUACAAAAAUUUUCCUGGUGUGGUGGCGGGCACCUGUAAUCCCAGCUAAUCGAGAAGCUGAGGCAGAGAAUUGCUGAGAUCACGCCACUGCACUCCAGCCUGGGCAACAAGAGCAAAACUCCGUCUCAAAAAAAAAAAAUUUUUUUUAAUAAGCUAAAACAGGCUGGGAACAUGGCUAAAACCCGUCUCUACAGAAAACAUACAAAAAAAUUAGCUAGGUGUGGUAGCAAGUGCUGGUGGUCCCAGCUACUCAGGAGGCUGAGGUGGAAAGAUCACCUGAGCCCAGGACGUUGAGGCUACAGUGAGCCAUGAUCAUGCCACUGCACUACAGCCUGGGCAACAGAGUAAGACUCUAUCUCAAAAUAAUUAAUUAAAAUAAAUAUAAAAUUAAAUUUAAAACCCCAAAUGUGGCUGAGUGUGGUGGCUUACACCUAUAAUCCUAGCACUUUGGGAGGCUGAGGCAGGAGGAUCAAUUAAGCCCAGGAGUUUGAGACCAGCCUGGGCAACACAGUGGGACCCUGUCUCUAUAAAAAAUAAAACCCACAAAUCUGCAGGAGGAACAGGAAAAGUUUUGGUAAGGCGGCAUUGUCAAAUCAAAAGAGAAGGAAGGAAGGUAUCUCUUUAGACUCUGCAAACACAUUGACACAUCUCCUGAGCUUUUCUUGGUGUUGUCAGCAUCACCCAGCCCCAUCCCCUACUCCUAGACUUCCCCAGACACAGAAAUUAAUCAACACUGUACAGGACAACCAACAAAACAGAAAAUAGGGUACUCAAGCCUGGACACCAGACAGUCACCAUGGGACAGCCCAGCCUUCUGCAGUAAUAGUGGACAGAUGUUUCCAUUCAGGGAAUCCAAUAAUAAAAGGAAAAUAAAUGUGCAUGUUAAGGGCAGAAAAGAGGGAGAAGAGGGAUUACUUGACUUACAGCAAUUGCAGCUUGGAGUCUGUCUUCCAGAAUCUGAUGGCUUUCAUAAUUAUGUGGUAUGAGUGGAGGCUACCUCUGUAGCAGUGCUGUAGAAUAGAAUAUAGAAAUACAUAAGCCAGCCAGGCACAGUGGUUCACGCCUGUAAUCCCAGCACUGUAGGAGGCAGAGGUGGGUGGAUCCUCUGAGGUCAGGAGUUCAAGACUAGCCUGACUGACAUGGAGAAACCCUGUCUCUACUAAAAAUAUAAAAUUAGCCAGGCAUGGUGGCGCAUGCCUGUAAUCCCAGCUACUCCGUAGGCUGGGGCAGGAGAAUUGCUUGAACCCAGGAGGCGGAGGUUGUGGUGAGCCGAGACCGCGCCACUGCACUCUAGCCUGGGCGACAGAGCAGGACUCUGUCUCAAAAAAAAAAAAAAAUUGCUACUAGCUGCAUUUAUAAAAGUAAAAAGAAACGGGUGAAAUUAAUGUUAAUAUUUUAUUUGAUUCAAUAUAUCCAAACUAUUAUAUUUCACAUGUGAUUAAUAAAGUUAUCCAUGAGACAUUUGA